rnacentral:rRNA from 1 species
UACGAAGGGGGCUAGCGUUGCUCGGAAUCACUGGGCGUAAAGGGUGCGUAGGCGGGUCUUUAAGUCAGGGGUGAAAUCCCGAGGCUCAACCUCGGAACUGCCUUUGAUACUGGCGAUCUUCGAGUCCGGGAGAGGUGAGUGGAACUCCGAGUGUAGAGGUGAAAUUCGUAGAUAUUCGGAAGAACACCAGUGGCGAAGGCGGCUCACUGGCCCGGUACUGACGCUUAAGAGCGAAAGCGUGGGGAGCAAACAGG